rnacentral:lncRNA from 1 species
CAAGCAAAAGCUAAAAAGUCCCCAGAUGCUGGUCUGGAGACCACACUUUUGUAGCAAGUUCCCCUACUUGUUUCCAAAUUCCCUUCCAGUUGAUUAGUGGAGAUUAGAAUCAGCUGGGGAGUAUUUUAAACCUCAAUGAAUGCCCAGUCUGCAUACCCAGAAAUUCUGAUUUAAUUGGCCCAGGCUUUGUGGGUUUUUUGUUUUUGUUUUUAAUGUUCCAGAUUAUUCUAAUGUGCCUCCAGGAUUGAGAAUUACUGCACUAAAUAGCAUUAAUCCUCUAUAUGAAACUUCAGUUUCUAGGCUGAAGCUCAGCUCUAAUGAGGACAUGAAAUUCGUGUUACUCUCAAAGGAUAGACUACAGUGGUCCCUGGGAGGGGCAGACUGUGCAGAUGGGGCCUUGGUACCUCAGUUGAGCUCCACUUUCUCGUUCCUCUGAGCUCCCAUAAGCUGCCACUGCUCAGAUUUCUGAGUCAGUUCUCUACGUGACCUCAUGUGCUGCCCCUCCUCUUGAGUCCCCAGAAGCCAAACCUGGUGACAUCUCCCAUGCCUUGGCUCACCCAUCCAGGUUCCUCAGCUGUUGAGUGAACACCUUCUAACCUCUUCACGCCUUCUUCCCGUGCAGGCCUCCUCAGGCGUGGGGCACUGUCUCAAGUUUAUUCCCUUCCACCCACAUCCCUGCUUCUGUGAGGCUGCUUGUCCUGACCAAGUGAAAUCAGGUGUGGUUGACAACUGACUGCCUUGAAGUGAGAUGAGCUGAACUUGCUCCCAGCCUGAGCUGGCUGUCCCCACUGCUCUGCUUUCUCAGUCCAUUCCCUCAGCUCCUGGCCUCUGGAUCUCUCUUAGAACUGCUGCUUCUUUCCUGGAUGAAGAAGAGAGCAACAUGACAUGGCUCAGUUGGGAAGUUUGCUCCCAUCCACUAAAAGUUUUAUAUUUCUCCUCCCUUGGUUUUUUUGGCCGAAAUCUUUCAUCUUGCAGCCAGAAUGCUGGAAUUCAUAAGCCUCUAGGUUGAGAAAAAUGUAAAUGAAAGAAUAAAUAAGUAAGUGAUAUAUGUAAUCAAAAGGAUGACCACAAUUUCAAUGCACACCCUUGCAGAAAGUCCAAUAAAUAUUUAUUGAGCAUCACUACAAGCUAGGACUGGACCCUGACCUAAAGUGGUGGAUAAGUUGGUGUGGUCCUUGCUCUCCCUCAGCUUGCAUUCUUUAGUAUACCAAAGCCUGUGCACCCAAAAGCAGCUGUGUGUGAAGUGGAGCUGACCAACGGGGUUCAACUCACAGGAAUUUCCGAGGACGUGGGGGUUCAGGCUGCCAAGACGGAUGUGACCAGCAAGGAGCUUCUAAGGUCUGAAGAUUGGGAAGGUCAAGGGUCAAGCUCUCCUAAGCCCCAAAGAGCGAGUCACCCCUCUCGAGUCCUUUCCUGUGAGUUCUUCUCCUCCAACCCCUUGAAAACAAGAUCUCCAUUUCACCUCAGCCAUAAGGUGAUCC